rnacentral:rRNA from 1 species
UACGGGGGGGGGGCAAGCGUUGUUCGGAAUUACUGGGCGUAAAGGGCUCGUAGGCGGCCAACUAAGUCAGACGUGAAAUCCCUCGGCUUAACCGGGGAACUGCGUCUGAUACUGGAUGGCUUGAGGUUGGGAGAGGGAUGCGGAAUUCCAGGUGUAGCGGUGAAAUGCGUAGAUAUCUGGAGGAACACCGGUGGCGAAGGCGGCAUCCUGGACCAAUUCUGACGCUGAGGAGCGAAAGCCAGGGGAGCAAACGGG